rnacentral:rRNA from 1 species
GAUGAAUGCUGGCGGCGUGCCUAAUACAUGCAAGUCGAGCGCCCCUUUAAGAGGUGACAAUAGUAAUUGUCGGUUCUUAUGGGGAGCGGCGGACGGCUGAGUAACACGUGGGAACAUGCCCCAAAGUGAGGGAUAAGCACCGGAAACGGUGUCUAAUACCGCAUAUGCUCUUCGGAGUAAAGCUUUAUGCGCUUUGGGAGUGGCCUGCGUCCUAUUAGAUAGUUGGUGAGGUAAAGGCUCACCAAGUCAACGAUGGGUAACUGGUCUGAGAGGAUGAUCAGUCAGACUGGAACUGAGACACGGUCCAGACUCCUACGGGAGGCAGCAGUAAGGAAUCUUCCACAAUGGGCGAAAGCCUGAUGGAGCAACGCCGCGUGCAGGAUGAAGGCCUUCGGGUCGUAAACUGCUUUUAUUAGUGAAGAAUAUGACGGUAACUAAUGAAUAAGGAUCGGCUAACUACGUG